AAAGUCAAAUGUGGUUUUCACC
rnacentral:snRNA from 1 species